rnacentral:tRNA from 1 species
AGUUAUUUAGCUUAUAUUAAUAAAGCAUAUAUUUUGAAAAUAUAAUAAAGAUUUAAUUAUUUAAUAACUU